GCCCGGCUAGCUCAAUCGGAAGAGCGUGAGACUCUUACGAGUACACAGAUCAUCUCAAGGUUGUGGGUUCGAGCCCCACGUUGGGCU